GUGUUGAGGUUCAGUAACAGAAUUCUCACCUUCCAUGUGGGAGACCUGGGUUCGAUUCCUGGCCAAUACA
rnacentral:tRNA from 1 species